rnacentral:lncRNA from 10 species
CAAGACAAAAGAUCCAGAAAGUAGAAAUUUAGCCAUAAAGUAGAAAUUUAAAGAUUUGAUUUCAUAAAUUUUGUCUACUACCCAUAUAAAAUAAUUGCACAAUAUAUAAGAAAGGCAUGGUAUCCCUGAGACAUGUGCCAGGAGAAGCGAUCACUGUGUCCUGCCAUCGGGGACAGAAGGUUGUGUCAACGACCCCUCAGAUGCCUUUGUCCCUGUGGUCCUGUGAUUCCAGGAAGCUGCCUUACCAGGACCAAGCAGGUUAACGACAAAUACUGAAACUCAGUCUUGGCCUGAACCUGGUGACCUGGAGCUGGUGGAAGGCCUGGUGAGAGACAGCUCAGACACUGGCUCACUCUUUCCUGGCUGAAGCCUGACUCCUGGUGGACAGAAACAUCAGCGACAGACUUCUAUUUUCAAACGUCUACAUACACAUCUUAGGGAAAGUUUAUUUAUCCCCUCAUUUUGUCAUUCAACAAAUAUGUACUGAUCACAUUCUACAUGCCAAGCAUGAUGGGAAUGUAAAAAUAAAUUUGAGAUGACGUCUUUGAGGAAAACGGCUUCUCUCUACUUUCGUUCGCAUUUUCUUGUGUUUCAAUAGUAGGGUAUAGUGUGGUAGUUUUCUUCAUGUAAGUCCUACUCCUCAGUUACAAUUCAGUUUCUUUCCAGGUUGCUACUGAGAAUGGAAUAUUCUUCUUGGUGUCUUUUCUGAUUACAGUAGUGGCCCGGAAGCUAUGGAUUUUCAUGGGUUGUUUCCAUGUGGCCACUUUACUGGACUGUUAGCUGUUCGGACUCUUCUUCUUGGCUCUCAAGGUAUACAAUCACACAGAAAGAAUUUUG